AGAGUUUGAUCAUGGCUCAGGACGAACGCUGGCGGCGUGCCUAACACAUGCAAGUCGAACGGAGUCGGCCCCGCCAAGGGACUGACUUAGUGGCGAACGGGUGAGUAACGCGUGAGCAACCUGCCUUUCAGUGGGGGACGAACAGUUGGAAACGACUGCUAAUACCGCAUAAUGCACUUUGACCGCAUGAUCGAGAUGCCAAAGAUUUAUUGCUGAAAGAUGGGCUCGCGUCUGAUUAGAUAGUUGGUGAGGUAACGGCCCACCAAGUCGACGGUCAGUAGCCGGACUGAGAGGUUGAACGGCCACAUUGGGACUGAGAUACGGCCCAGACUCCUACGGGAGGCAGCA
rnacentral:rRNA from 1 species